GGGGAUUUGGNAUGGGCGAAGCCUGAUCCAGCCAUGCCGCGUGUGUGAAGAAGGUCUUCGGAUUGUAAAGCACUUUAAGUUGGGAGGAAGGGCAGUAAGUUAAUACCUUGCUGUUUUGACGUUACCAACAGAAUAAGCACCGGCUAACUUCGUGCCAGCAGCCGCGGUAAUACNAAGGGUGCAAGCGUUAAUCGGAAUUACUGGGCGUAAAGCGCGCGUAGGUGGUUCAGCAAGUUGGAUGUGAAAUCCCCGGGCUCAACCUGGGAACUGCAUCCAAAACUACUGAGCUAGAGUACGGUAGAGGGUGGUGGAAUUUCCUGUGUAGCGGUGAAAUGCGUANAUAUAGGAAGGAACACCAGUGGCGAAGGCGACCACCUGGACUGAUACUGACACUGANGUGCGAAAGCGUGGGGAGCAAACAGGAUUANAUACCCUGGUAGUCCACGCCGUAAACGAUGUCGACUAGCCGUUGGGAUCCUUGAGAUCUUANUGGCGCAGCUAACGCGAUAAGUCGACCGCCUGGGGAGUACGGCCGCNAGGUUAAAACUCAAAUGAAUUGACGGGGGCCCGCACAAGCGGUGGAGCAUGUGGUUUAAUUCGAAGCAACGCGAAGAACCUUACCUGGCCUUGACAUGCUGAGAACUUUCC
rnacentral:rRNA from 1 species